CUUCUACUCACCGGCGGGAAGGCCAUGGGCGGCACGGUGGGCAGGCGGUCCCAGAACACGGCAGGAGCGAGCCAAGAAGUUUGGUGAUGAAAAGCCUCCCCGAGCUGGCCCAGGAAUCCUUCCAGUGACACUGCAGAACAGACCCAGCCCUGACGUAGCAGGUAUUUCUGCGGUCGAAGCAUGAGCAAUUCUGCCUAGAAUAAAUAGCUGGAACCCUCCCAA